rnacentral:rRNA from 1 species
UUAACACAUGCAAGUCGAGGGGCAGCAUGGUCUUAGCUUGCUAAGGCCGAUGGCGACCGGCGCACGGGUGAGUAACACGUAUCCAACCUGCCGUCUACUCUUGGACAGCCUUCUGAAAGGAAGAUUAAUACAAGAUGGCAUCAUGAGUCCGCAUGUUCACAUGAUUAAAGGUAUUCCGGUAGACGAUGGGGAUGCGUUCCAUUAGAUAGUAGGCGGGGUAACGGCCCACCUAGUCUUCGAUGGAUAGGGGUUCUGAGAGGAAGGUCCCCCACAUUGGAACUGAGACACGGUCCAAACUCCUACGGGAGGCAGCAGUGAGGAAUAUUGGUCAAUGGGCGAGAGCCUGAACCAGCCAAGUAGCGUGAAGGAUGACUGCCCUAUGGGUUGUAAACCUCUUUUAUAAAGGAAUAAAGUCGGGUAUGGAUACCCGUUUGCAUGUACUUUAUGAAUAAGGAUCGGCUAACUCCGUGCCAGCAGCCGCGGUAAUACGGAGGAUCCGAGCGUUAUCCGGAUUUAUUGGGUUUAAAGGGAGCGUAGAUGGAUGUUUAAGUCAGUUGUGAAAGUUUGCGGCUCAACCGUAAAAUUGCAGUUGAUACUGGAUAUCUUGAGUGCAGUUGAGGCAGGCGGAAUUCGUGGUGUAGCGGUGAAAUGCUUAGAUAUCACGAAGAACUCCGAUUGCGAAGGCAGCCUGCUAAGCUGCAACUGACAUUGAGGCUCGAAAGUGUGGGUAUCAAACAGGAUUAGAUACCCUGGUAGUCCACACGGUAAACGAUGAAUACUCGCUGUUUGCGAUAUACUGCAAGCGGCCAAGCGAAAGCGUUAAGUAUUCCACCUGGGGAGUACGCCGGCAACGGUGAAACUCAAAGGAAUUGACGGGGGCCCGCACAAGCGGAGGAACAUGUGGUUUAAUUCGAUGAUACGCGAGGAACCUUACCCGGGCUUAAAUUGCAGAUGAAUUACGGUGAAAGCCGUAAGCCGCAAGGCAUCUGUGAAGGUGCUGCAUGGUUGUCGUCAGCUCGUGCCGUGAGGUGUCGGCUUAAGUGCCAUAACGAGCGCAACCCUUGUUGUCAGUUACUAACAGGUUCCGCUGAGGACUCUGACAAGACUGCCAUCGUAAGAUGUGAGGAAGGUGGGGAUGACGUCAAAUCAGCACGGCCCUUACGUCCGGGGCUACACACGUGUUACAAUGGGGGGUACAGAGGGCCGCUACCACGCGAGUGGAUGCCAAUCCCCAAAACCUCUCUCAGUUCGGACUGGAGUCUGCAACCCGACUCCACGAAGCUGGAUUCGCUAGUAAUCGCGCAUCAGCCACGGCGCGGUGAAUACGUUCCCGGGCCUUGUACACACCGCCCGUCAAGCCAUGGGAGCCGGGGGUACCUGAAGUGCGUAACCGCGAGGAGCGCCCUAGGGUAAAACUGGUGACUGGGGCUAAAU